GUGCCAGAGACUUUCUGGGUGGGUGUGGAGCUGGGCUCAGCUCGAGGUGAAGAGGUGCAAACAGAACUUUGUACCCGGAAAUACUGGUGUCCAAAGGGGAGUGUUGCAGGGGAAGAGCCGAGCUCCGCCGUGUCCUGGCAGAUUGUUUGCCACCCCAAGAUUCCGGGCAGAUCAGCUGGAUCAAGCUGCUGUCUAAAAGGACCUCAUGCUGACACUGCUCACUUGGCCCUAAAUUCAAGGCCACCUUCUCAGGGGCUGCGGGGGUGAGGAGCCUGGAUGGCCAGAACGAGACAACUCUGACAGUGUGCUGUUUCAUUCUCAUUUGGAUGGCCUAAUUUAUUUUUCACCUGGUUGAAAACAGCCGAAAGUCCC
rnacentral:lncRNA from 1 species